UACGGUAGGGUGCAAGCGUUAAUCGGAAUUACUGGGCGUAAAGCGUGCGCAGGCGGUUUUGUAAGACCGAUGUGAAAUCCCCGGGCUUAACCUGGGAACUGCAUUUGUGACUGCAUGGCUAGAGUACGGUAGAGGGGGAUGGAAUUCCGCGUGUAGCAGUGAAAUGCGUAGAUAUGCGGAGGAACACCGAUGGCGAAGGCAAUCCCCUGGACCUGUACUGACGCUCAUGCACGAAAGCGUGGGGAGCAAACAGG
rnacentral:rRNA from 1 species